CCUACGGGAGGCAGCAGUAGGGAAUAUUGCUCAAUGGGGGAAACGCUGAAGCAGCAAAGCCGAGUGAAGGAUGCAGGUUUUAGGAUUGUAAAAUCCUUUUUUGAGAGAAGAUAAUGACGGUAUCUCACAAAUAAGGACAGGCUAAGUCCGUGACAGGCGCCACGGUAAUAAGGAAGGAUCGGGCGUUAUCCGGAUUUAGUGGGUUUAAAGGGUGCGUAGUCCGCAUGUCAAGUGUGCUGGUAAAUGUCCGGUGACAACCCGGGUCUUGCAGGGCGAACUGGCGUCCUUGAGUCCGCGGAAAGCAGGCGGAAUUCGUCGUGUAGCGGUGAAAUGCUUAGAUAUGACGAAGAACUCCGAUUGCGAAGGCAGCUUGCUGCAGCGGAACUGACGCUGAUGCUCGAAAGCGCGGGUAUCGAACAGGAUUAGAUACCCCUGUAGUC
rnacentral:rRNA from 1 species